GAUGAAGAACGUAGCGAAAUGCGAUACUUGGUGUGAAUUGCAGAAUCCCGUGAACCAUCGAGUCUUUGAACGCAAGUUGCGCCCGAAGCCACUAGGCCGAGGGCACGCCUGCCUGGGCGUCACAGGCCGUUGCCCCCCCAUCUACUCCUUCGGGAUUGCGGGGGGGCGGAUGAUGGCCUCCUGUGCGCCUAGCCGCGCGGUUGGCAUAAAUACCAAGUCCUCGGCGACGCACGCCACGACAAUCGGUGGUUGCGAAACCUCGGUUGCCCGUCGUGUGCGUUCGUCGCGCAUCGAGGGCUCGAAAAAAUGCUCGGCUCCGGCUGGGCUUUCAACGCGACCCCAGGUCAGGCGGGGUUACCCGCUGAAUUUAAGCAUAUCAAUAAGCGGAGGA
rnacentral:misc_RNA from 1 species